rnacentral:tRNA from 1 species
AAAGUUAUAAUAUAAAUUAGUAUAUUUCAUUGUCAAUGAAAAGGUUCUUUAACUUUA